rnacentral:sRNA from 1 species
GCUCUUGCUUGCUUGCACUGAUGAAGUAAGCUGCCACGUUGUGAGAUGCUCAACGAAGAGGCCCAUGAGGCAGGGCACCGAGGGAGGCUUCUGGCCAACAGCUCCUGGGGAACUAAGGCCUUAGGAAGUGAGUCCUGCCAACAAUAAUGAGAGCCUUGAACUUUGAAACCACAGUGCCUUGUUCCAGCGUGGAAAGCAGCGUGGCACUUCCCGGUGGUGAAAGCACCCCAGCUCGAAAGGGUAAAAACACCUUCUCCCAGAUAGUGUCCCUUUGUUUAGCCAGUGCUUUUUGCCAGUGGUCACCUUAAGGAAAUCAAAUGAAGAUUUGAGGCUUAAGCAACUUCUUCUGGGGAAGAGUGCCAGUGCAGCCACUGUUACAAUUCAAGAUCUUGAUCUAUAUCUAUAGAUUGGAAUAUUGGUGGGCCAGCAAUCCUCAGACACCUCACUUAGGACAAAUGAGGAAACUGAGGCUUGGUGAAGUUACGAAACUUGUCCAAAAUCACACAACUUGUAAAGGGCACAGCCAAGAUUCAGAGCCAG